UGUCCUUUUGAUUAUAAUUUAAGGUCUAAUCUGCCCACUGAAAUUUUAAAUGGCCGCAGUAAUUUGACUGUGCUAAGGUAGCAKAAUCAUUAGKUUUUUAAUUAAAAGCUGGAAUGAAYGAUKGGAUGAAAUAAAAGCUGUCUCARUUUUMUUAAGUUAGAAAKUUAUUUUKAAGUUAAAAAGCUUAAAUUUUAUUAAAAGACGAGAAGACCCCAAAGAGUUUUAUAUAAAAAUAUAAAUYUUAAUUAUUAAUUAUAAAAUUKKAUUUUUAUUKUUAUAUUUUGYUGGGGUGACAAAAAAAUUUAAAGRACYUUUUYUUAAUUAAAACAUUUAUUUAUGAUUAAUUGAUCCAUUAUURGUGAUUAUAAGAUUAAAUUACCUUAGGGAUAACAGCGUAAUUUUUUUARAGAGUUCAAAUCGAARAAAAASAUUGCGACCKCGAUGUUGGAUUAAAGUUUAAUUUUGGUGUACCACCUAAAAAUUUAAGUCUGUUCUACUUUUAAAACUUU
rnacentral:rRNA from 1 species